CCCUUAGAUGUUCUGGGCCGCACGCGCGCUACACUGAUGCAUUCAACGAGUCUAAAACCUGGUCUGAUAGGGCUGGGUAAUCUUUUGAAUGUGCAUCGUGAUUGGGAUAGAUGAUUGCAAUUCUUCAUCUUCAACGAGGAAUGCCUAGUAAACGCAAGUCAUCAGCUUGCAUUGAUUACGUCCCUGCCCUUUGUACACACCGCCCGUCGCUCCUACCGAUUGAAUGUUCCGAUGAAUACCAUGGACUGAGAGUAUGAAUGGGUUCGCCUAUUUCUGCUUCUCGGGAAGUGGAGUAAAUCCUAACAUUUAGAGGAAGGAGAAGUCGUAACA
rnacentral:rRNA from 1 species